rnacentral:rRNA from 1 species
GAAAUAAAAAUAUUAUUUAAUUUGGAUUUUAUUAGAAUUUAAUAUAAAUAAUUUUAUUAAUAAUUAUUUUUAGUAUAGUUUAUAGAAAAAAUUUAAAGAUUUAUAGUUUAUUAGUAUUGUAAGAGAAUUUUGAAAUAUAGAUUUUUUAGGUUAAAGUAAAAUUAAUUUUUUGUACCUUGUGUAUCAGGGUUUAUUAAAUAAAUAUUAUAAAUUUUAAUUUUCUCGAAUUUAAGAGGGAAAAUAAAUUAUUUUUAUUAUUAUAAAAUAAAUAUAUAAAAUUAUUUAUUAGUAGUGAAAAGUUAUUCGUUCUUAAAUAUAUCUAGUUUAUCUAGAAAUGAUUUUAAUUCAGUUAAUUAAAUUUAAUUUAUUUAUUUAUUUAAAUAGAUUGAUUUAUUUAAUAAUAAUUAAAGGGAUUAGCUUUUAAUUAAAGUUUUAAAAUUUUAUAUAUGAAAUAAGAUAGGUAGGUUUAGAAAUAUUCAUCAAUUUUAGUAUGUUAUUAUUAGUUUUAUUAAUAAUAUUAUUUUUUAGAAAAAUUUAAAGUUUUAUAGAUAAGUAAUAAUUAAUAAUUAAAUAUUAGUUAUAAUGAUUAAAUUAGUAUAUUUAUAAAUAUUUAAAUUAUAUGAAGAUAUAGAUUAUUCAAAGGAAUUAGGCAAAAUAGUUUAUUCGCCUGUUUAACAAAAACAUGUCCUUUAGAGUAGAAUUUAAGGUUUAGCCUGCCCACUGAUUAAUUAAAUGGCCGCAGUAAUUUGACUGUGCAAAGGUAGCAUAAUCAUUAGUUUUUUAAUUAGAAGCUUGUAUGAAUGGUUGGACGAAAUAAGUACUGUCUUUGAUUAAUAAAUAGAAUUUAAUUUUUAAGUUAAAAAGCUUAAAUGAUUAUAAAAGACGAGAAGACCCUAUAGAUCUUUAUAAUAUUUUAUAUAUGUUUAAUUAAGAUUAUUUCAUUAUUUAUAUAAAAUACUAUUUUAUUGGGGUAAUAAAAAGAUUAGAUUAAUUCUUUAUGAUUUAUAUAUAAAUUGAUAAAUUUUUGAUCCUUUAUUAGAGAUUUUAAGAUUAAGUUACCUUAGGGAUAACAGCGUAAUUUUUUUGGAGAGUUCAUAUCGAUAAGAAAGUUUGCGACCUCGAUGUUGGAUUAAAAAUUAUUCUAGGUGAAGUAGUUUAGAACUUUGGUCUGUUCGACCAUUGAAUUUUUACAUGAUCUGAGUUCAGACCGGCGUAAGCCAGGUCGGUUUCUAUCUUUAUUGAGUUAAUAUAUUUUAGUACGAAAGGACCAAAUAUAGAAUAUAUUAGAUAUUUUUAUUUUUGAGUUAUAUU